rnacentral:rRNA from 1 species
ACACUCCUGCGGGAGGCAGCAGUGGGGAAUUUUGGACAAUGGGCGAAAGCCUGAUCCAGCAAUGCCGCGUGAGUGAAGAAGGCCUUCGGGUUGUAAAGCUCUUUUGUCAGGGAAGAAACGGUGAAAGCUAAUAUCUUUUGCUAAUGACGGUACCUGAAGAAUAAGCACCGGCUAACUACGUGCCAGCAGCCGCGGUAAUACGUAGGGUGCAAGCGUUAAAUCGGAAUUACUGGGCGUAAAGCGUGCGCAGGCGGUUUUGUAAGUCUGAUGUGAAAUCCCCGGGCUCAACCUGGGAAUUGCAUUGGAGACUGCAAGGCUAGAAGCUGGCAGAGGGGGGUAGAAUUCCACGUGUAGCAGUGAAAUGCGUAGAUAUGUGGAGGAACACCGAUGGCGAAGGCAGCCCCCUGGGUCAAGAUUGACGCUCAUGCACGAAAGCGUGGGGAGCAAACAGGAUUAGAUACCCGGGUAGUCCCA